AUUGAAGUCAAUGGUUCGACACACAGGGCGGCUUGCGGCGCGUUACUGCCAUUAGGGUUUUCAUCGUCAACCCUCUUCCCCUUUCCUCAUUUUCCCUCUACCGCUCCUUCCAUGGCGAUACCCGGCCCUUACUCUGGCGUCAGCACCCUCGCGUUCGUUGCUCGUGCUUCGGCGUUCGCGUUCGGUGUCGUCUAUGGAAGCGUCAAGCUAUCGUAUCUCCAGGUCAAGGCAAAGUAUCACAAGAAGGAAGAGGCAAAAGGCCACCACUGAGGAACAGAAUGUGGUGUGUGGUGAUUCUUUAACUGCAUGAUUGAAUUUAGUUGUCAUCAAUUUCUACUGUUUGGUGUACUUCUGCCUCCAUGGCUGAUUAUACCUGUUGGGUUCCUGGAGCACUUUUCACCAGGAUCAACAAGAAGAUUUUUGACACUUAGUUCUACUUCCAAUAACUGUUCCAAAUGAUGUUAGCUGAAAACUGGAUAGUUGUAUUUCCUUCGAUAUUUUUUCUACAAUGUCUUCAUAUGCUAAUGGCGCUUAUCAAUAAAAUUUAGGUUCCUUGUGAUAGGUAUUGCUGUGAAAACUGGACAAUUGUGUUUUCUUCAAUAUUUUCGUGUAAUGCCUUUGUAUGCUAAUGGUGCUUAUCAAUAAAGUAUUACAAAAAUUGGAUA